rnacentral:rRNA from 1 species
UACGUAGGUGGCAAGCGUUGUCCGGAUUUACUGGGCGUAAAGGGCGUGCAGGCGGUCUGUUAAGUGCAGGGUGAAAGCUCCCGGCUCAACUGGGAGAGGUCCUUGCAUACUGGCGGACUUGAGGGGGGUAGAGGAAAGUGGAAUUCCCGGUGUAGUGGUGAUAUGCGUAGAUAUCCGCAGGAAUACCAGUGGCGAAGGCGGCACUCUGGGUUGUACCUGACGCUGAUGUGCGAAGGCUAGGGGAGCGAACAGG